UGGCUCAGAUUGACGCUGGCGGCAGGCCUAACACAUGCAAGUCGAACGGUAACAGCAGAGCUUGCUCUGGCUGACGAGUGGCGGACGGGUGAGUAAAGCAUAGGAAUCUCCCAUGUAGUGGGGGAUAACUUGGGGAAACUCAAGCUAAUACCGCAUACGCCCUACGGGGGAAAGCGGGGGACCUUCGGGCCUCUUGCUAUUGGAUGAGCCUAUGUCGGAUUAGUUAGUUGGUGAGGUAAUGGCUUACCAAGACUACAAUCCGUAGCUGGUUUGAGAGGAUGAUCAGCCACACUGGGACUGAGACACGGCCCAGACUCCUACGGGAGGCAGCAGUAGGGAGUAUUGGACAAUGGGCGCAAGCCUGAUCCAGCAAUGCCGCGUGUGUGAAGAAGGCCUGCGGGUUGUAAAGCACUUUCAGUAGGGAGGAAAAGUUAGUCGUUAAUAACGGCUAACCGUGACGUUACCUACAGAAGAAGCACCGGCAAACUCCGUGCCAGCAGCCGCGGUAAUACGGAGGGUGCGAGCGUUAAUCGGAAUUACUGGGCGUAAAGCGCGCGUAGGCGGCCUGAUAAGGGGGAGGGGAAAGCCCUGGGCUCAACCUAGGAACUGCAUGCAAAACUGUCAGGCUAGAGUAUGGUAGAGGAGAGUGGAAUUGCAUGUGUAGCGGUGGAAUGCAUAGAUAUAUGAAGGAACACCAGUGGCGAAGGCGGCUCUCUGGACCAAUACUGACGCUGAGGUGCGAAAGCGUGGGUAGCAAACGGGAUUAGAUACCCCGGUAGUCCACGCCGUAAACGAUGUCAACUAACUGUUGGGCGGGUUUCCGCUUAGUGGGGUGCAGCUAAAGCAAUAAGUUGACCGCCUGGGGAGUACGGCCGCAAGGCUAAGACUCAAAUGAAUUGACGGGGGCCCGCACAAGCGGUGGAGCAUGUGGUUUAAUUCGAUGCAACGCGAAGAACCUUACCUGGCCUUGACAUCCUCGGAACUUUGCUGAAAAGCGAAGGUGCCUUCGGGAACCGAGUGACAGGUGCUGCAUGGCUGUCGUCAGCUCGUGUCGUGAGAUGUUGGGUUAAGUCCCGUAACGAGCGCAACCCUUGUCCCUAGUUGCCAGCGGUUCGGCCGGGAACUCUAGGGAGACUGCCGGUGACAAACCGGAGGAAGGUGGGGAUGACGUCAAGUCCUCAUGGCCCUCAUGGGCAGGGCUACACACGUGCUACAAUGGCCGGUACAGAGGGUCGCCAACCCGCGAGGGGGAGCCAAUCCCAGAAAACCGGUCGUAGUCCGGAUUGGAGUCUGCAACUCGACUCCAUGAAGUCGGAAUCGCUAGUAAUCGCGAAUCAGCAUUGUCGCGGUGAAUACGUUCCCGGGUCCCUUGUACACACCGCCCGUCACACCAUGGGAGUUGGCUGCACCAGAAGUAGAUAGUCUAACCUUCGGGAGGAC
rnacentral:rRNA from 1 species